CCCUGCCUUUUGUACACACCGCCCGUCGCUACUACCGAUUGAAUGGCUUAGUGAGGCCUCCGGAUUGCGCCUGCGGAGCGGGAAACCGCACCGCGGGUUCGAGAAGCUGGUCAAACUUGGUCAUUUAGAGGAAGUAAAAGUCGUAACAAG
rnacentral:rRNA from 1 species